rnacentral:rRNA from 1 species
AGGCUUCCCCUAGUACUGCGAGUGACCGGGAAAGCUCAAAUUUUGAAUCUGGCGGUCCUCGCGGCCGUCCGAGUUGUAAUCUAGAGAAGCGUCUUCCGCGCUGGACCGUGUAUAAGUUUCCUGGAAUGGAACGUCGUAGAGGGUGAGAAUCCCGUCUUUGACACGGACUGCCAGGGCUUUGUGAUGCGCUCUCGACGAGUCGAGUUGUUUGGGAAUGCAGCUCAAAUAGGGUGGUAAAUUCCAUCUAAAGCUAAAUACAGGCGAGAGACCGAUAGCGAACAAGUACCGUGAGGGAAAGAUGAAAAGAACUUUGGAAAGAGAGUUAAACAGUACGUGAAAUUGCUGAAAGGGAAACGCUUGAUGUCAGUCGCGUUUGCUGGGGAUCAGCCUAGCUUUUUGCUUGGUGUACUUCCUGGCGAACGGGUCAGCAUCGGUUUCGAACGUCGGAAAAUGACUCGAGGAAUGUGGCACCUCUCGGGGUGUGUUAUAGACUCUUGUCGAAUACGAUGAUUGGGACCGAGGAACUCAGCACGACCUUCGGGUUCGGAGCUUAGGCUCACGUUGACGUGCUUAGGAUGCUGGCAUAAUGGCCUUAAGCGACCCGUCUUGAA